GAUGAACGCUGGCGGCGUGCCUAAUACAUGCAAGUCGAGCGAACAGACGAGGAGCUUGCUCCUCUGACGUUAGCGGCGGACGGGUGAGUAACACGUGGAUAACCUACCUAUAAGACUGGGAUAACUUCGGGAAACCGGAGCUAAUACCGGAUAAUAUAUUGAACCGCAUGGUUCAAUAGUGAAAGACGGUUUUGCUGUCACUUAUAGAUGGAUCCGCGCCGCAUUAGCUAGUUGGUAAGGUAACGGCUUACCAAGGCAACGAUGCGUAGCCGACCUGAGAGGGUGAUCGGCCACACUGAAACUGAGACACGGCCCAGCCUCCUACGGGAGGCAGCAGUAGGGAAUCUUCCGCAAUGGGCGAAAGCCUGACGGAGCAACGCCGCGUGAGUGAUGAAGGUCUUCGGUUCGUAAAACUCUGUUAUUAGGGAAGAACAAAUGUGUAAGUAACUAUGCCCGUCUUGACGGUACCUAAUCAGAAAGCCACGGCUAACUACGU
rnacentral:rRNA from 1 species